CAGCAGUCGCCGCGGUAAUACGUAGGUGGCAAGCGUUGUCCGGAAUUAUUGGGCGUAAAGGGCUCGCAGGCGGUUUCUUAAGUCUGAUGUGAAAGCCCCCGGCUCAACCGGGGAGGGUCAUUGGAAACUGGGAAACUUGAGUGCAGAAGAGGAGAGUGGAAUUCCACGUGUAGCGGUGAAAUGCGUAGAGAUGUGGAGGAACACCAGUGGCGAAGGCGACUCUCUGGUCCGUAACUGACGCUGAGGAGCGAAAGCGUGGGGAGCGAACAGGAUUAGAUACCCGCGUAGUCCCUGUCUCUUAUAC
rnacentral:rRNA from 1 species